rnacentral:lncRNA from 1 species
GGCUUUGCUGUUCCGUUGCCUGUGUGCAGUUGCCUGGGUUCUGAGGAAAGCUGCGGAGGAGGUCAGUGUCUUCACCUCUGGCUCACAGGGUACAGCACCCAGCUAAUGUCCUUGUUUUCACUCAGAGCUAGAACGAGAGCCGACCAGGUCCUUUCCUUAAGACUCUAAGGCAGCGGGCUUCAACCUUCCUAACUCUGGUCCCUUUAGUACAGUUCCUCGUGUUAUGGUGACCUCCCAACCAUACAAUGAUUUUCAUGGCUAACUUCAUAACUGUAAUUCUGCUAGUGUUAUGAAUCGUGAUGUAAAUGCCUGAUUGGCAGAAUAUGUGCUAUGCAACCCCUCUGAAAGGGUCAAUCAACCGCCCCCCCCCAGGGGUGGCAUCCUAUAGGUUGAGAACCAUUGCUCUAAGGAAAUGCGUCACAAAGGCCAAGGCAGGGGCCUCUGAAACAACACAGCUCUGUGCUCAGCUUCGCCUCUACCCCGAUCCCAUAGGCUCCUCUUCUCUCCUUUCUCAGGCCCAGUAGGUGAGUGCUGGGUGACUCUUCACUGAAGCAUCGGAGACUUCCCUUGCUUGAACCCUUGAAGGAAGGCGUCACUAGACUCUCCUGGGACCCUCUGAGGAGGAGACGAAACAGAUACCUCUAGGCAGGGGCUGGUCUCUUGGACAUGGAGCCUCUCCGUAGACAGAUGUCACCACACUCCUUCCUUAAAAUAAAAAGGCAAAAGAAAGGGCUUUCUUCAUAGGCUGUUUAGCAACCCCGGGGAGGGAAAAGCAAUCAGGGACAUGGAAACGGGCCUGGGGUGUGUUGUGUGCUCGCCCGCAGAGCCCCGGGGCCCACACGCAGCAGGACUCAGCCUGGGAAAAGC